rnacentral:rRNA from 1 species
AUACAGAGGGGGCAAGCGUUAUUCGGAAUUAUUGGGCGUAAAGGGCGCGUAGGCGGCUUUUUAAGUGAGAUGUGUAAUCCCUGAGCUCAACUUGGGAACUGCAUCUCAUACUGGGAGGCUAGAGUACUGGAGAGGGUGGUAGAAUUCCACGUGUAGCGGUGAAAUGCGUAGAGAUGUGGAGGAAUACCAGUGGCGAAGGCGGCCACCUGGACAGUAACUGACGCUGAGGCGCGAAAGUGUGGGUAGCAAACAGGAUUAGAUACCCUGGUAGUCCACACUGUAAACGAUGAACACUUGGUGUGGAGGGAGUUGACCCCUUCCGUGCCGUAGCUAACGCGUUAAGUGUUCCGCCUGGGGAGUACGGUCGCAAGGCUGAA